GUGAGAACACGUAGUCAAUCUACCCUAUGGACGGGGAUAACCUCGGGAAACUGAGGAUAACACCCGAUAGAUCAUAAUUCCUGGAAUGGUUUAUGGUCCAAACGAUUCGUCGCCGUAGGAUGGGACUGCGGCCUAUCAGCUUGUUGGUGAGGUAAUGGCCCACCAAGGCUAUUACAGGUACGGGCUCUGAGAGGAGAAGCCCGGAGAUGGGUACUGAGACACGGACCCAGGCCCUAUGGGGCGCAGCAGGCGAGAAACCUUUGCAAUGUGCGCAAGCACGACAAGGUUAAUCCGAGUGUUUCCUGCUAAAGGAAUCUUUUGUUAGUUGUAAAACCACUAUCGAAUAAGGGGUGGGCAAGUUCUGGUGUCAGCCGCCGCGGUAAAACCAGCACCUCAAGUGGUCAGGAGGAUUAUUGGGCCUAAAGCAUCCGUAGCCUGUUCUAUAAGUUUCCGGUUAAAUCCACUAGCUCAACUAGUGGGCUGCCGAAAAUACUGUAGAACUAGGGAGUGGGAGAGGUAGACGGUAUUCGGUAGGAAGGGGUAAAAUCCUUUGAUCUAUUGAGGACCACCUGUGGCGAAGGCGGUCUACCAGAACACGUUCGACGGUGAGGGAUGAAAUCUGGGGGAGCAAACCGGAUUAGAUACCCGGGUAGUCCCAGCUGU
rnacentral:rRNA from 1 species